AGAGUUUGAUCCUGGCUCAGAUUGAACGCUGGCGGCAGGCCUAACACAUGCAAGUCGAGCGGUAGAGAGAAGCUUGCUUCUCUUGAGAGCGGCGGACGGGUGAGUAAUACCUAGGAAUCUGCCUGAUAGUGGGGGAUAACGUUCGGAAACGGACGCUAAUACCGCAUACGUCCUACGGGAGAAAGCAGGGGACCUUCGGGCCUUGCGCUAUCAGAUGAGCCUAGGUCGGAUUAGCUAGUUGGUGAGGUAAUGGCUCACCAAGGCUACGAUCCGUAACUGGUCUGAGAGGAUGAUCAGUCACACUGGAACUGAGACACGGUCCAGACUCCUACGGGAGGCAGCAGUGGGGAAUAUUGGACAAUGGGCGAAAGCCUGAUCCAGCCAUGCCGCGUGUGUGAAGAAGGUCUUCGGAUUGUAAAGCACUUUAAGUUGGGAGGAAGGGCAUUAACCUAAUACGUUAGUGCUUUGACGUUACCGACAGAAUAAGCACCGGCUAACUCUGUGCCAGCAGCCGCGGUAAUACG
rnacentral:rRNA from 1 species